CUCGCCCUCGCUAACUAGUGUCUAGACUCUAGUGGCUCGCCAGUCGCCGCGUCGCGUUCAUUGUGUGGUUGUUCGGCAAUAUUUCAGUGUUCGUGUAGCGAGUUAGAGGACGUACUUUCUUCGCGGUCGUAGUUGUUUCACUAUCCAAUGGAAAUGAUUUAAUUGAAAAUGACCUUCAGCAUUUUAAGGUGUGACCUGAUGACUUUGAUGGUGCUGGACAUCUUUUACCAUGGAUAUCUUUUGGGUCCCAAAAUCUGGAUACUCAAAAGUCCCAAAAUCUGGAUACUAAAACGAGUGACAUUCUCGGAGUGCUAGAGAUUCCUGGACUGGUGGGAAACGUAUGCAGCAGCUGUGAUGGUGGUGGCCUUCAGAUGCUAUCAUGAAUAGCCCUUGGGUCUCUCAAAACAUAGGCCUCUGAAACGGUCUUGGAUGAGAACACCGAAUUUCAGUUUAAAAAUGGUGAAUGUUUAUCCUUAAUAUUUAGUCUGUAUGACCUGAAAAUAGUGGAAAUGAUGGUAAUUCAUUGUCUUUAACGUUUUGUUUGACAACAGGUUAAUUAGAAAUCAACAAGGAAGGAAAUUAAGGUGGUUAAUCGUUACCCUCAAUAUUUUUUGUGGUCUUUUGAUAAUGCUAAGGAUCGAAUUUGUUAGCAUCUAUGUAUUGCCUCUUGGGAUGCCUAAAAUGCCUGUUAUAAAUAUACGACGAAACCUCAGAGACUCGUGGGUUGCUUUUUGGGGAGGGGUGAACUGGCGCCAUGUCUUUUGUCAGCUUUACAGUUAAUCAAAAAUUAAACGCUGGAUGGGCGAUUAUUAUCAUAUCUUUUGUACAGUAGAACAAAGGCAAAAAGAUUACAUUACUGGGAGCAUUAAUUGCAAUAAGUAGUGUUAUAAAAGUCAAAUGGUCAUGAAUUAUAAUUUUCAGUCUAAUUUAAUCGAAGGAUGUAAAGUAAUUCUUUGUGUAUUCAGCCGAAAAAUACCUUUAAAAUAUGUGCAUUGUGGUUAACUUUCUAAAUAUUAAGAAAAUUGUAAAAACUGAAAACACUAUCUAUUCAUUAGAGGGUGGGUCUUAAUAAAUUUUAAGAGUA